rnacentral:rRNA from 1 species
CUAACGGCUGAGUAACACGUGGGCAACCUGCCCUUUGCACUGGGAUAGCCUCGGGAAACCGAGGUUAAUACCGGAUACUCCAUAUCCAUCGCAUGAUAGAUAUGGGAAAGCUCCGGCGGCAAAGGAUGGGCCCGCGGCCUGUUAGCUAGUUGGUGGGGUAGUGGCCUACCAAGGCAAUGAUGGGUAGCCGGGUUGAGAGACCGACCGGCCAGAUUGGGACUGAGACACGGCCCAGACUCCUACGGGAGGCAGCAGGC